UACGGAGGGUGCAAGCAUUAAUCGGAAUUAUUGGGCGUAAAGGGCGCGUAGGCGGAUGUAUAAGUCAGAUGUGAAAUUCCGGGACUCAAUUUCGGAGCUGCAUUUGAAACUAUAAAUCUCGAGGAUUGGCGGAGAGAACGGAAUUCCACGUGUAGCGGUGAAAUGCGUAGAUAUGUGGAAGAACACCGGUGGCGAAAGCGGUUCUCUAGCUAUUACCUGACGCUGAGGCGCGAGAGCAAGGGGAUCAAACAGG
rnacentral:rRNA from 1 species